GAUGAACGCUGGCGGCGUGCCUAAUACAUGCAAGUCGAGCGAACAGACGAGGAGCUUGCUCCUCUGACGUUAGCGGCGGACGGGUGAGUAACACGUGGAUAACCUACCUAUAAGACUGGGAUAACUUCGGGAAACCGGAGCUAAUACCGGAUAAUAUAUUGAACCGCAUGGUUCAAUAGUGAAAGACGGUUUUGCUGUCACUUAUAGAUGGAUCCGCGCCGCAUUAGCUAGUUGGUAAGGUAACGGCUUACCAAGGCAACGAUGCGUAGCCGACCUGAGAGGGUGAGAGGCAAAAAUGGAACUGAGACACGGUAAAGACGACGACGGGAGGCAGCAGAAGGGAAUAUUCCGCAAUGGGCGAAAGCAUGACGGAGCAAAGCCGAGUGAGUGAUGAAGGUAUUAGGAUCGUAAAACUCUGUUAUGAGGGAAGAAAAAAUGUGUAAGUAACUAUGCACGUAUUGACGGUAACUAAUCAGAAAGCAACGGCUAACUACGUG
rnacentral:rRNA from 1 species